GAUGAACGCUGGCGGCGUGCCUAAUACAUGCAAGUCGAGCGAACAGACGAGGAGCUUGCUCCUCUGACGUUAGCGGCGGACGGGUGAGUAACACGUGGAUAACCUACCUAUAAGACUGGGAUAACUUCGGGAAACCGGAGCUAAUACCGGAUAAUAUAUUGAACCGCAUGGUUCAAUAGUGAAAGACGGUUUUGCUGUCACUUAUAGAUGGAUCCGCGCCGCAUUAGCUAGUUGGUAAGGUAACGGCUUACCAAGGCGACGAUGCGUAGCCGACCUGAGAGGGUGAUCGGCCACACUGGAACUGAGACACGGUCCAGACCCCGACGGGAGGCAGCAGUAGGGAAUCUUCCGCAAUGGGCGAAAGCCUGACGGAGCAACGCCGCGGGAGUGAUGAAGGUCUGCGGAUCGUAAAACUCUGUUAUUAGGGAGAACAAAUGUGUAAGUAACUAUGCACGUCUUGACGGUACCUAAUCAGAAAGCCACGGCUAACUACGUG
rnacentral:rRNA from 1 species